UGGGACGAGAGAGAGUUAUGUCGCACUGAUCACCAAUGGUUGCUGGGCCGAAGAAACAAUUGUCGUUGCUUAUAGAGCUAUCGAUAGGUCGUACCAGGUCGUUCUAGGAGCAGUUUUGCUGGAGGAACGGACGACUGAUCGCAUCGAAUUCACUUGUCAGGAUACAUCCGCCGUGUCGGAUGGCUUCCAAUGGAACAAAGUAUCCCUGUCCUUCCUACAAGGGGUUAUUAAUCUAACUGUAAACGACGUACUUUGCAGAACUGAAGAGAGAGCAACCGCUGUCCCUCAACAACCGAAGUGCCCCUUGGUCCUCGGAAAUGAUAUACAAGGAGAAAACGCAAGACCAAGUCUGUUUGGAUGGUUUGAUGACUUCAGCCUGAGACGAUAUUGUCUAAACUAAGUUUUCCGAUGUGAUUACCCUCUCCGCUGCUCCACAGCCUUCAUCUGAUAACCCCUAAUGUCAAAAAACGUGCCGAACGAGCAUAUAUGCGUCUGGAAAG